GCAGGCCUAACACAUGCAAGUCGAGCGGUAGAGAGAAGCUUGCUUCUCUUGAGAGCGGCGGACGGGUGAGUAAUGCCUAGGAAUCUGCCUGGUAGUGGGGGAUAACGUUCGGAAACGGACGCUAAUACCGCAUACGUCCUACGGGAGAAAGCAGGGGACCUUCGGGCCUUGCGCUAUCAGAUGAGCCUAGGUCGGAUUAGCUAGUUGGUGGGGUAAUGGCUCACCAAGGCGACAAUCCGUAACUGGUCUGAGAGGAUGAUCAGUCACACUGGAACUGAGACACGGUCCAGACUCCUACGGGUGGCAGCAGUGGGGAAUAUUGGACAAUGGGCGAAAGCCUGAUCCAGCCAUGCCGCGUGUGUGAAGAAGGUCUUCGGAUUGUAAAGCACUUUAAGUUGGGAGGAAGGGUUGUAGAUUAAUACUCUGCAAUUUUGACGUUACCGACAGAAUAAGCACCGGCUAACUCUGUGCCAGCAGCCGCGGUAAUACAGAGGGUGCAAGCGUUAAUCGGAAUUACUGGGCGUAAAGCGCGCGUAGGUGGUUAGUUAAGUUGGAUGUGAAAUCCCCGGGCUCAACCUAGGAACUGCAUUCAAAACUGACUGACUAGAGUAUGGUAGAGGGUGGUGGAAUUU
rnacentral:rRNA from 1 species